UACGAAGGGGGCGAGCGUUGUUCGGAUUUACUGGGCGUAAAGGGCGCGCAGGCGGCGCAUUUUGUCAGGCGUGAAAUUCCCGGGCUCAACCUGGGGGCUGCGCUUGAUACUGGGUAGCUAGAGUUCGGCAGAGGGAAGCGGAAUUUCGGGUGUAGCGGUGAAAUGCGUAGAUAUCCGAAGGAACAUCAGUGGCGAAAGCGGCGCGCUGGACCUCUACUGACGCUGAGGCGCGAAAGCCAGGGGAGCAAACGGG
rnacentral:rRNA from 1 species